rnacentral:lncRNA from 1 species
ACAGAGGAAACUGUAGCAAAGGAUGCAGAACUCCAGUCUUUGUUCCUGAGACAGAAACUCAGAGAGGAGCAACAGGAAAAAUGGCUGCUUCUCUGAUAGAUGUGCCCCAGGAUAUAUUAACAUUCAGAAAUGUGGCUGUGGACUUCUCCAAGGAGGAAUGGGAAUAUCUAGACUCUUCUCAAAGAGCUCUAUACAUGGAUGUAAUGUGGGAGAAUUACAGCAAUCUAGUUUUUGUAGGAUGCAUGUGGCCGAGUUUGGAUGGCC